rnacentral:rRNA from 1 species
CAAGUCGUACGCGAAAGGGGAGCAAUCCCUGAGUAGAGUGGCAAACGGGUGAGUAACACGUGGGUGACCUGCCUCAGAGUGGGGGAUAACGUCCCGAAAGGGACGCUAAUACCGCAUAACAUCCUGCCUUUAGAAAGGCGGAGAUCAAAGCCGGGGAUCGCAAGACCUGGCGCUUGGAGAGGGGCCCGCGUCUGAUUAGCUAGUUGGUAGGGUAAUGGCCUACCAAGGCAACGAUCAGUAUCCGGCCUGAGAGGGCGGACGGACACACUGGGACUGAGACACGGCCCAGACUCCUACGGGAGGCAGCAGUGGGGAAUUGUUCGCAAUGGGCGCAAGCCUGACGACGCAACGCCGCGUGGAGGAUGAAGAUCUUCGGGUCGUAAACUCCUGUCGAGCGGGACGAACACUUACCCGGUUAAUACCUGGGUAGGCUGACGGUACCGCUAAAGGAAGCCCCGGCUAACUCCGUGCCAGCAGCCGCGGUAAUACGGGGGGGGCAAGCGUUGUUCGGAAUUACUGGGCGUAAAGGGCUCGUAGGCGGCCAACUAAGUCGGACGUGAAAUCCCCAGGCUCAACCUGGGAACUGCGUCCGAUACUGGAUGGCUUGAAUCCGGGAGAGGGAUGCAGAAUUCCAGGUGUAGCGGUGAAAUGCGUAGAUAUCUGGAGGAAUACCGGUGGCGAAGGCGGCAUCCUGGACCGGCAUUGACGCUGAGGAGCGAAAGCCAGGGGAGCAAACGGGAUUAGAUACCCCGGUAGUCCUGGCCCUAAACGAUGAAUGCUUGGUGUAACGGGUAUCGAUCCCUGUUGUGCC